AGAAACCAUUCCCGGUCUAUUGUUUAUUUUAUACUUUUUAUAAUUUGGAUAAAUGUUUUACCUUGUUAAUGAUCAAAUAUGAAAAUGUGAGUCAAAUCAGUGAACAUAAAUUUGACAGCUAGUGCCCCUUUUAUAAAGCUCAUCAUAUACUCAUCAUAUAUACCAGGAUUAAAUUUGUAUUUACGCCAGACGUACGUUUCGUCUAAAAAAGACUUGAAUCAGUGACGCUCGAAUUCAAAAAAACUUAAUUAAAACAGGGCAAAUAUAGGACGAAGUUAAAGAGCAUUGACGAC
rnacentral:lncRNA from 1 species